AGAGUUUGAUCAUGGCUCAGGACGAACGCUGGCGGCGUGCUUAACACAUGCAAGUCGAACGGAAAGGCCCUUCGGGGUACUCGAGUGGCGAACGGGUGAGUAACACGUGGGUGAUCUGCCCUGCACUUUGGGAUAAGCCUGGGAAACUGGGUCUAAUACCGAAUAUGACCAUGCGCCUCCUGGUGUGUGGUGGAAAGCUUUUGCGGUGUGGGAUGGGCCCGCGGCCUAUCAGCUUGUUGGUGGGGUAAUGGCCUACCAAGGCGACGACGGGUAGCCGGCCUGAGAGGGUGACCGGCCACACUGGGACUGAGAUACGGCCCAGACUCCUACGGGAGGCAGCAGUGGGGAAUAUUGCACAAUGGGCGCAAGCCUGAUGCAGCGACGCCGCGUGAGGGAUGACGGCCUUCGGGUUGUAAACCUCUUUCAGCACAGACGAAGCGCAAGUGACGGUAUGUGCAGAAGAAGGACCGGCCAACUACGUGCCAGCAGCCGCGGUAAUACGUAGGGUCCGAGUGUUGUCCGGAAUUACUGGGCGUAAAGAGCUCGUAGGUGGUUUGUCGCGUUGUUCGUGAAAACUCACAGCUUAACUGUGGGCGCGCGGGCGAUACGGGCAGACUUGAGUACUGCAGGGGAGACUGGAAUUCCUGGUGUAGCGGUGGAAUGCGCAGAUAUCAGGAGGAACACCGGUGGCGAAGGCGGGUCUCUGGGCAGUAACUGACGCUGAGGAGCGAAAGCGUGGGGAGCGAACAGGAUUAGAUACCCCGGUAGUCC
rnacentral:rRNA from 1 species